rnacentral:rRNA from 1 species
UACGUAGGCAGCGAGCGUUGUUCGGAGUUACUGGGCGUAAAGGGUGUGUAGGCGGUUGUUUAAGUUUGGUGUGAAAUCUCCCGGCUCAACUGGGAGGGUGCGCCGAAUACUGAAUGACUAGAGUGCGGGAGAGGAAAGUGGAAUUCCUGGUGUAGCGGUGAAAUGCGUAGAUAUCAGGAGGAACACCGGUGGUGUAGACGGCUUUCUGGACCGUAACUGACGCUGAGACACGAAGCGUGGGGAGCAAACAGG